AUUGAACGCUGGCGGCAGGCCUAACACAUGCAAGUCGAAUGGUAACAGGAAACAGCUUGCUGUUUCGCUGACGAGUGGCGGACGGGUGAGUAAUGUCUGUGAAACUGCCUGAUGGAGGGGGAUAACUACUGGAAACGGUAGCUAAUACCGCAUAACGUCGCAAGACCAAAGAGGGGGACCUUCUGGCCUCUUGCCAUCAGAUGUGCCCAGAUGGGAUUAGCUAGUAGGUGGGGUAACGGCUCACCUAGGCGACGAUCCCUAGCUGGUCUGAGAGGAUGACCAGCCACACUGGAACUGAGACACGGUCCAGACUCCUACGGGAGGCAGCAGUGGGGAAUAUUGCACAAUGGGCGCAAGCCUGAUGCAGCCAUGCCGCGUGUAUGAAGAAGGCCUUCGGGUUGUAAAGUACUUUCAGCGGGGAGGAAGGGAGUAAAGUUAAUACCUUUGCUCAUUGACGUUACCCGCAGAAGAAGCACCGGCUAACUCCGUG
rnacentral:rRNA from 1 species